rnacentral:rRNA from 1 species
UACAGAGGGGGCAAGCGUUGUUCGGAAUUACUGGGCGUAAAGGGCGCGUAGGCGGCCUUCUAAGUCGAACGUGAAAUCCCCGGGCUCAACCCGGGAACUGCGUCCGAUACUGGAAGGCUUGAAUCCGGGAGAGGGAUGUGGAAUUCCAGGUGUAGCGGUGAAAUGCGUAGAUAUCUGGAGGAACACCGGUGGCGAAGGCGACAUCCUGGACCGGUAUUGACGCUGAGGCGCGAAAGCAUGGGGAGCGAACAGG